UUUUACUGGGGGAUAGUCAAGAGAAAUUUUGAAUAAUACCCCAUACGAUCUGAUUCACUCCUGUGAAACAGAAGAAAAUUCCGAUGGUAAAAGAUGGGCAUGCGUCCUAUUAGUUUGUUGGUGAGGUAACGGCUCACCAAGACUACGAUAGGUAGGGGUCCUGAGAGGGAGAUCCCCCACACUGGUACUGAGACAGGACCAGACUCCUACGGGAGGCAGCAGUGAGGAAUAUUGGACAAUGGAGGCACUCUGAUCCAGCCAUGCCGCGUGCAGGAAGACGGCCCUAUGGGUUGUAAACUGCUUUUAUACAGGAAGAAACGUUGUACGUGUACUAG
rnacentral:rRNA from 1 species